UACGUAGGGGGCAAGCGUUGUCCGGAUUUAUUGGGCGUAAAGAGCGUGUAGGCGGCCAAGCAGGUCAGCUGUGAAAACUCGAGGCUCAACCUCGAGACGUCGGUUGAAACCGCUUGGCCAGAGUCCGGAAGAGGAGAGUGGAAUUCCCGGUGUAGCGGUGAAAUGCGCAGAUAUCGGGAAGAACACCUAUGGCGAAGGCAGCUCUCUGGGACGGUACUGACGCUGAGACGCGAAAGCGUGGGGAGCGAACAGG
rnacentral:rRNA from 1 species